GGUGUGCGAUAGACUUACCUCUCCGUGGUGCACCCUGGGCAACGUAUUCUCAUACGGCAAAAAAGUCUAU
rnacentral:ribozyme from 1 species